GACGAGGGGUCCAAGCGUUGUUCGGAAUUAUUGGGCGUAAAGCGGGUGUAGGUGGCUCUAUAAGUCAGGAGUGAAAUCCCCAAGCUUAACUUGGGAAGUGCUUUUGAUACUGCAGAGCUUGAAUGUGGGAGAGGUUAAUAGAAUUCCAGGUGUAGUGGUGAAAUACGUAGAUAUCUGGAGGAACACCAAUGGCGAAGGCAGCUCGCUGGGACGUUACUGACGCUGAGACGCGAAAGCGUGGGGAGCAAACAGG
rnacentral:rRNA from 1 species